GGUAGGCAUUGAGGCAGCCAGCGCAGGGGCUUCUGCUGAGGGGGCAGGCGGAGCUUGAGGAAACCGCAGAUAAGUUUUUUUCUCUUUGAAAGAUAGAGAUUAAUACAACUACUUAAAAAAUAUAGUCAAUAGGUUACUAAGAUAUUGCUUAGCGUUAAGUUUUUAACGUAAUUUUAAUAGCUUAAGAUUUUAAGAGAAAAUAUGAAGACUUAGAAGAGUAGCAUGAGGAAGGAAAAGAUAAAAGGUUUCUAAAACAUGACGGAGGUUGAGAUGAAGCUUCUUCAUGGAGUAAAAAAUGUAUUUAAAAGAAAAUUGAGAGAAAGGACUACAGAGCCCCGAAUUAAUACCAAUAGAAGGGCAAUGCUUUUAGAUUAAAAUGAAGGUGACUUAAACAGCUUAAAGUUUAGUUUAAAAGUUGUAGGUUUCUCUUUUUCAGGCUUAUACUCAUGAAUCUUGUCUGAAGCUUUUGAGGGCAGACUGCCAAGUCCUGGAGAAAUAGUAGAUGGCAAGUUUGUGGGUUUUUUUUUUUUACACGAAUUUGAGGAAAACCAAAUGAAUUUGAUAGCCAAAUUGAGACAAUUUCAGCAAAUCUGUAAGCAGUUUGUAUGUUUAGUUGGGGUAAUGAAGUAUUUCAGUUUUGUGAAUAGAUGACCUGUUUUUACUUCCUCACCCUGAAUUCGUUUUGUAAAUGUAGAGUUUGGAUGUGUAACUGAGGCGGGGGGGAGUUUUCAGUAUUUUUUUUUGUGGGGGUGGGGGCAAAAUAUGUUUUCAGUUCUUUUUCCCUUAGGUCUGUCUAGAAUCCUAAAGGCAAAUGACUCAAGGUGUAACAGAAAACAAGAAAAUCCAAUAUCAGGAUAAUCAGACCACCACAGGUUUACAGUUUAUAGAAACUAGAGCAGUUCUCACGUUGAGGUCUGUGGAAGAGAUGUCCAUUGGAGAAAUGGCUGGUAGUUACUCUUUUUUCCCCCCACCCCCUUAAUCAGACUUUAAAAGUGCUUAACCCCUUAAACUUGUUAUUUUUUACUUGAAGCAUUUUGGGAUGGUCUUAACAGGGAAGAGAGAGGGUGGGGGAGAAAAUGUUUUUUUCUAAGAUUUUCCACAGAUGCUAUAGUACUAUUGACAAACUGGGUUAGAGAAGGAGUGUACCGCUGUGCUGUUGGCACGAACACCUUCAGGGACUGGAGCUGCUUUUAUCCUUGGAAGAGUAUUCCCAGUUGAAGCUGAAAAGUACAGCACAGUGCAGCUUUGGUUCAUAUUCAGUCAUCUCAGGAGAACUUCAGAAGAGCUUGAGUAGGCCAAAUGUUGAAGUUAAGUUUUCCAAUAAUGUGACUUCUUAAAAGUUUUAUUAAAGGGGAGGGGCAAAUAUUGGCAAUUAGUUGGCAGUGGCCUGUUACGGUUGGGAUUGGUGGGGUGGGUUUAGGUAAUUGUUUAGUUUAUGAUUGCAGAUAAACUCAUGCCAGAGAACUUAAAGUCUUAGAAUGGAAAAAGUAAAGAAAUAUCAACUUCCAAGUUGGCAAGUGAUUUAAUAAUAAUUUAAAACUACUAUAGAAACUGCAGAGCAAAGGAAGUGGCUUAAUGAUCCUGAAGGGAUUUCUUCUGAUGGUAGCUUUUGUAUUAUCAAACUUUUUUCAGAUAACAUCUUCUGAGUCAUAACCAGCCUGGCAGUAUGAUGGCCUAGAUGCAGAGAAAACAGCUCCUUGGUAUCUCUUCGUUAUCAGAAGAGUUGCUUCAUUUCAUCUGGGAGCAGAAAACAGCAGGCAGCUGUUAACAGAUAAGUUUAACUUGCAUCUGCAGUAUUGCAUGUUAGGGAUAAGUGCUUAUUUUUAAGAGCUGUGGAGUUCUUAAAUAUCAACCAUGGCACUUUCUCCUGACCCCUUCCCUAGGGGAUUUCAGGAUUGAGAAAUUUUUCCAUCGAGCCUUUUUAAAAUUGUAGGACUUGUUCCUGUGGGCUUCAGUGAUGGGAUAGUACACUUCACUCAGAGGCAUUUGCAUCUUUAAAUAAUUUCUUAAAAGCCUCUAAAGUGAUCAGUGCCUUGAUGCCAACUAAGGAAAUUUGUUUAGCAUUGAAUCUCUGAAGGCUCUAUGAAAGGAAUAGCAUGAUGUGCUGUUAGAAUCAGAUGUUACUGCUAAAAUUUACAUGUUGUGAUGUAAAUUGUGUAGAAAACCAUUAAAUCAUUCAAAAUAAUAAA
rnacentral:lncRNA from 1 species